rnacentral:snRNA from 1 species
GGAUGUGAAGGGGAUCCGGCUGCGACAUCUGUCACCGCUUUGAUCACCAGGGUUGAUUCGGCUGAUCUGGCUGGCUGGGCGGGCGUCCCCGUCCUCCCUCAGUGCUCCAUGUGCGUCCCUCCCGGAGCUGCGCCUCGGUCGAAGAGGAUGACCACCCCCGAUAGAGGUCAAGGGUAUGCGAGGAGCUGCGCUCCCCUGCUGGAAUCUCCAGACAAGCUCUCAAGGAGACCACAGGCCGCCAAGACCUGAGAACUGGAAUGCUCCACACGGCUACUACGUGUGGUUUAAAAGUU